AGAUGUUUGGCUUUCCUCGAAAAAAAAGUACAGCACAGCCGAUGUUCGUCUUCCUCAUCGCCCAACAGGCGCUAGACCUUCCAUCCUCCCCCAUUAAUUUUCUAGCCGCAAUUGUUCCGUCCUCGACCUCUAGCCUCCUCUUCACAAAUGCUGAUAAAUACGGCUCAUAAAUCGCCAAUACAAACUGCUGCAUCCAACUCAUCCGUCGCCACUAGCCCCAACUUAAAAGGAUCCCGAUGGUGCCAUACGGUUCAAUCACGACACCCUGGUCGCCCCGCCAUCAACGCCAUCGGCCUCCACGUUGAGCUACGGCUGGCAAAUCUGCUCCACGUUUUCCUCCUGUAGCCCGCUUUCUUGGAUCGAUUCUAACUACUGCUACCUCAUCUUCACCGGAUUUCUUUCGAUUUUGGCCCUUUCCGAUCUGCUCGGUCAGGACUUCACUACGGAUCACGCCUACUUUCAUUGGGAAUCCCUACCUACGGUAAAGUGUAUGCUCCGGAGGCUGUGAGAGGAGCAGCGGCAUCGACCAUGUUCACCCGUGAGGGGACACGUUCAUGUCCUCCACGCAAGGUAGCCUCUGCGCCGAAAACAUCGGCAACACCAUACAUGUCAACCUCUUCAUUCUUCAGGUGUUCUUACUUCCUCCUCUCUCACUCCAAAAUACCAAUCUUUUGUUUGUACCAACGGAUUGUAUUGCCUCUUCUAAAGCCAGUGUACUGGAUUUGGAUUAUGUGCUCAGGUUUGCUCCACAUAGUAUUGGCCAAAUUUUUACGGUACUGACCUAUUGCUGCGGAUCUUUGACUGGCAUGCAGCAACAACCUCUUCCAUGCCACGAGUUUCUCUUGCACCAAUUUUUAGAUUACCGUUUUUUGCAUUUUCUUCUUCUAAUGAUCACAUCUUUCUGCCAGGAUGAGACUAAAUAUGUAAAGAAAUUUGCCGUUUGGAACUGUACACCGGAUAUUAUCUUCAAAAGUGCCGAUUAUCUAUGGAUAUGUUUCUUUAUCUCUGUUCUUUGUUUGAAUGAUAAUGCGUUGCGAUUUGGAUGGAACUGAAGAAAUUAACUUUCAAAAACCGUUUCUUCAGUUGCAAUCUUUUCCUGGCCAUAUGGGUAACUAGAGUUAUUGAAAGAUUUUCUGUAAUGGAUUUACUGGAACUUCCGGUGGCUUUUUGUUAGAUGCAAAAAAAGUGGUUGUUUGUCCGAUCCCAGUUAUAGUUGGUUUGCAUUGUCCCACGCAGAUGCAGGUUCCCCCAUGGCUCCAUAAAACAGGAAACAACUACUCGACAAGGGAGGGAGGUAGAAGAUUUUCAUUGUAGUUCAUUUUUUUAAAACAGGAUAGAAUGAUUUAGAAAGAAAAAGUCCAAUGUUGGGUUUCUUACCCAGUCGAUCAUGUGGAUUUUAGCCUACCACUAUCUUCCUUUGUAUGUAUCAUCUCUCUUGAAUUUUGAUUGCAAACAUCCAUAAACUCUUCCCUAUGAUGUAAUGUUUACGAGGUAUUUUAUCAACCCUUCUUUAUCCAAGUGAUUUUUAAACGA